rfam:Taeniopygia guttata chromosome 26, whole genome shotgun sequence.
UUCUGUUGUCCUUCAUUCCACCGGAGUCUGUCUCUAGCUAACCAGAUUUCAGUGGAGUGAAGCACAAGAGGCA